rnacentral:rRNA from 1 species
CCCGCAACGAGCGCAACCCAGAUCCUUUGUUGCCAGCGAUUCGGUCGGGAACUCAAAGGAGACUGCCGGUGAUCAACCGGAGGAAGGUGGCCCAUGACGUCCAGUCAUCAUGGCCCUUACGAGUAGGGCUACACACGUGCUACAAUGGCUCAUACAAAGAGAAGCGACCUUGCGAGAGCAAGCGGACCUCAUAAAGUGCGUCGUAGUCCGGAUCGGAGUCUGCUACUCGACUCCUUGAAGUCUGAAUCGCUUUUAAUCGUGGAUCAGAAUGCCACGGUUAAUACUUU